AAGUUACUCCCUCCGUCUGGAAAAGCUUGUCCCAAGCUUAUCCCUCAAAUGAAUGUAUCUAGCACUAACUUGGUGCUAGAUACAUCCAUUUGAGGGACAAGCUUUUUCGGACGGAGGGAGUACUAU
rnacentral:pre_miRNA from 1 species